GAUGAAGAACGUAGCGAAAUGCGAUAAGUAAUGCGAAUUGCAGAAUUUCCGUGAGUCAUCGAAUCUUUGAACGCACAUUGCGCCCGCUAGUAUUCUGGCGGGCAUGCCUGUUCGAGCGUCAUUUCAACCAUCAAGCCCUGUUUAGGCUUGUGUUGGGGCCCUGCGGUUGCCGCAGCCCCCUAAAUGCAGUGGCGGGCUCGUUGUCACUCCGAGCGCAGUAGCGUAUCUCGCUCUGGGCGUGGCGGCGGGUGCUAGCCGUGAAACGCCCACUAAGGUUGACCUCGGAUCAGGUAGGAAUACCCGCUGAACUUAAGCAUAUCAAUAAGCGGAGGA
rnacentral:misc_RNA from 1 species